rnacentral:rRNA from 1 species
UAGGAUCUUCCACAAUGGGCGAAAGCCUGAUGGAGCAACGCCGCGUGUGUGAUGAAGGUUUCGGCUCGUAAAACACUGUUGUAAGAGAAGAAUGACAUUGAGAGUAACUGUUCAAUGUGUGACGGUAUCUUACCAGAAAGGAACGGCUAAAUACGUGCUAG